rnacentral:rRNA from 1 species
GACGAACGCUGGCGGCGUGCUUAACACAUGCAAGUCGAACGGAAAGGCCCUGCUUUUGCGGGGUGCUCGAGUGGCGAACGGGUGAGUAACACGUGAGUAACCUGCCCUUGACUUUGGGAUAACUUCAGGAAACUGGGGCUAAUACCGGAUAGGAGCUCCUGCUGCAUGGUGGGGGUUGGAAAGUUCCGGCGGUUGGGGAUGGACUCGCAGCUUAUCCGCUUGUUAGUGAGGUAGUGGUGUACCAAGGCUUUGACGGGUAGCCCGCCUGAGAGCGUGACCGGCCACCAUGCGACUGCGGGACGGACCAGAAGGGUACGGGAGGCAACAGGGGGGAGUAUUGCGGAGUGGGGGGAAGCCUGAUGCGGCAACGCCGGGAGCGUGAUAACGUCUUACGAGUUAUAAACCGCUUUCGAAGGAGACGUAGACGUAGUGACGGUAACGGGUCAGGAAGCACCGGCUAACUACGUG